rnacentral:rRNA from 1 species
UACGUAGGUGGCGAGCGUUGUCCGGAUUUACUGGGCGUAAAGAGCGCGCAGGCGGUCAAGUAAGUCGAAUGUGAAAGCCCCCGGCUCAACUGGGGAGGGUCAUUCGAUACUGCUCGACUCGAAGGCAGGAGAGGGAAGUGGAAUUCCCGGUGUAGUGGUGAAAUGCGUAGAUAUCGGGAGGAACACCAGUGGCGAAGGCGGUUGCCUGGAGCUUUGCUGACGCUGAUGCGCGAAAGCGUGGGGAGCGAUCCGG